CAGAAUAGUAAUAUCAAAGAAAAUCUUUUUAAUCACAUCACAAUAAUCGAAAGAGCACGACGUAAAAUACACUGGUGGCGUAUAAGACAGUUUUGGUUGUGUUGAUCGAAAUUUCACUUCUAAGUUACUCCAGUUGUCGCGCAGCCUGGCGAAUCUUUGGCACUAAUUGAAAAUCUGGACAUUUUUUCUUCAAGGGCUUGCAAGGAUUUGGCGGAUCGCACUGUGGUAUCUAUUAUAGUUAUUGUGGAUAAUGGAGUGAUUGUGCUGUGGGUGGCAUUUCAAAUGCAGGUGAUGAAAACGAUUGAAACAUCCCGGAACAAAACACCGCAUUUCACUGUCAAUAUUUUCGCAAACAGAACCAACUCUAAAUAUUUUCAUAAAAGCAACUCCCGGAACGUCAUUUGUUUAUGUUUUUUCUUAUUCACGUCUCUCUGUUAUUUCAAAAUAAAAUGACAACCGCACUAACACAUAGAAAAACGUGAUAACCAGGGUAUUUUACAUCGUGUCGAAAGAGAGAGUGAUUAACAGAGAUGCCAGAUAUUUUCAUAGAAAAUCUGUAUUGAUUCGAAUAAAAUAUCUGUAGGGUAACAGAGGUAUUUUGGCCACUUCAUAUAUUUUGGCCCACCUAACAAACUAUAUGGAUUCAAUCGAUCUUAGGUAACCCAUGUUGCAUCAGUUUGAAGCUAAUCACAUUAAAUUACCUAUUGCGGAAGGAUUUUUCAAAGAUAUUAAAACAUUUGGUGGAUAUUUUUACAAAGUGGGCCAAAAUAAAAUCGAUCCUAAAGCGGGCCAAAAUACCUCUGUUACCCUAUUUAUCUGUAUUCGCUAAUAAAAUGAAAUUUCUACAAUACAAUUAUGUUAAAAGGUGUUAUUCCAAUAGAUUAUGGCUAUAGAGUGGUAGAUUAAAUUUCAUAUCUUAUAUUAUAUUCAUCGACGAAAUUUUAUAGUUUUUUCCUAUCAACAAUAAUUGAAUUAUGGUGCCAUAUACUUGUCUAAUUUGAAAAUGUUCACUUCAUAAGUUGAGAUGGAUUUCCAAAACCCAAUAUGCAACGUCGAGUCAGGAAAUACAACUGUCAGUCUGGCAAUAAUGUUUCAUGACUAUCUAACUUUUAAGUUCAAUUUAGUUACAAAUUUUAAUAUAAAUGGAUUUCAGUGUUCUUCAUUAAAUAUCUGCACAAAAAAU